GACGAACGCUGGCGGCGUGCUUAACACAUGCAAGUCGAACGGAAAGGCCCUGCUUUUGUGGGGUGCUCGAGUGGCGAACGGGUGAGUAACACGUGAGUAACCUGCCCUUGACUUUGGGAUAACUUCAGGAAACUGGGGCUAAUACCGGAUAGGAGCUCCUGCUGCAUGGUGGGGGUUGGAAAGUUUCGGCGGUUGGGGAUGGACUCGCGGCUUAUCAGCUUGUUGGUGGGGUAGUGGCUUACCAAGGCUUUGACGGGUAGCCGGCCUGAGAGGGUGACCGGCCACAUUGGGACUGAGAUACGGACCAGACGGCUACGGGAGGCAGCAGUGGGGAAUAUGGCACAAUGGGCGGAAGCCUGAUGCAGCAACGCCGCGUGCGGGAUGACGGCCUUCGGGUUGUAAACCGCUUUCGCCUGUGACGAAGCGGGAGUGACGGUAAUGGGUAAAGAAGCACCGGCUAACUACGUG
rnacentral:rRNA from 1 species